CAUCAACACAAAAACACACACACACACACACACACACACACACACACACACGUACACACACACACGUACACACACACACACACGUACACACACACACACACACACACACAUGUUUAUCCCCGGAGAUACAUCAACACAAAAACAGCCAUCACUCUGGCUGAAGAAGGGGUGAGGAGGGAGAUGGAAAAAGAGAGGCAUGGGGAGGAGACGAGAGAGAGAGAGAGAGAGAGAGAGAGAGAGAGAGGGGGAGAGAGGGAGAGAGAGAGAGAGAGAGAGAGAGGGAGAGAGAGAGAGGGAGAGAGAGGGGGAGGGAGAGAGAGAGAGAGAGGGGGGGAGAGAGAGAGAGAGAGAAAGAGAGAGAGAGAGA
ensembl:lncRNA